CUCCUGAAUAGCCGGGUCACUGUGACACGGCAUGCCGCACACCUACACGCCGUGCAGAUCCAUAGGCAAUCGACUUACUAUGACACUGCCGCUUAUCAAUGCAUUCUGGGAUGAGCUGGACUGCGGAGUAGUAGUUGUUUUGUUGUGGGCAAACACGUCCCGUGAGAGUAAUACACUCCAUACAACUGAGGUCACUCUGCUGCGCACAAUCAACAUGAAUUAUGCAUGCUAUAGUGAAAAGAGGUGUGCCUGUGUCGGUGCAACAACACGUCUCAUUGAGUAUUUUGAGAAGCGACGCUUUGUCCAUGUUGAAGUGAAGAGGUCUCAGCUCAUCAUCAACCGCAACGUGUCAGUGAAGAGACUACGGCAGUUUUUUGAAGGACUAUCCCGCAGCUACAUGCGCUGAAUUGUUUCCAUGAUGGGACAGAGACCAACUGUGUUGAUGACAUAGCCAGCAACCUACAUGUACAUAUAUCACCGACAUGUUCCCUCGUGUUCAAAAUACUGCUACUGAUUGUUGAAUGAUUUGUUUAUGACGCUCUACAAUCUAUUACAUAGCCCACAAUCAUACAGCGGCGUUAGAUAACAAACACACAUCAUAUCAUGUUACAACAGUUUGCCAUUGACUAACACCUGUCGUGUUGGCUGCCUGCACAAUGAGCCGUAUUGAAGCCAUUGGGAGGUGUAGUCCUGCCCUUUCUUCUUUCGACUUUUAUGAAAGGGUCAGCGCGAAUGACGUUCAAUACUAUCAGCUACACCCAAUGAACUGAUUUUAAUCUCUAUUCAUUUGUGCUUGCAACCCAACGCAUGGCCAACACAAGGAUUGAGAUCCGCCAGGAUAGUGGCAACGUGCCUUAAAGCACUUUUCAUAAUCAUGGACCACACAGAUUUGGGAUCCGCCAGGAUAGUGGCAACGUGACUUAAAACUCUUUUCAUAAUCAUGGACCACACAAGGAUCGGGAUCCGCCGGGAUAGUGGCAACGUGACUUAAAACUCUUUUUUAUAAUCAUGGACCACACAAGGAUCGAGAUCCGCCAGGAUAGUGGCAACGUGACUUAAAACUCUUUUUUAUAAUCAUGGACCACACAAGGAUCGAGAUCCGCCAGUAUAGUGGCAACGUGACUUAAAACUCUUUUUUUAUAAUCAUGGACCACACAAGGAUCGAGAUCCGCCAGGAUAGUGGUAACGUGACUUAAAACUCUUUUUAUAAUCAUGGACCAAACAAGGAUCGAGAUCCGCCAGGAUAGUGGCAACGUGACUUAAAACUCUUUUUUAUAAUCAUGGACCACACAAGGAUCGAGAUCCGCCAGGAUAGUGGCAACGUGACUUAAAACUCUCUUUUUAUAAUCAUGGACCACACAAGGAUCGAGAUCCGCCAGGAUAGUGGCAACGUGACUUAAAACUCUUUUUUAUAAUCAUGGACCACACAAGGAUCGAGAUCCGCCAGGAUAGUGGCAACGUAUCACUGAAAUCUCAUUAAGUUAAAUAUAUCAUGACCAUAUAAAAUAUGUGACGCCAUCCCAAGUUCGAGACAUCACUUGUCAUGACAUCAAUCAUUAGACUUUU